rnacentral:other from 1 species
AAAUACCUAGAAGAUACGGUAGCUUUUAUGAAAAACCUACUAAAUUAACGUAUUGGGAAUCUAAUUUACAAAUGGUGUUGAAUGCUUAAAUUUAUUUAGGAAUCCUUAAAUUUGUAAUGUGAUACCCACCUGGGAGAUCAGGUUUUAAUCGUUAAUGGCGCCGAUCAUCUGGGUUUUUU